rnacentral:siRNA from 1 species
GGCCUGAUUCCAGCCCAAAACAGA